GACGAACGCUGGCGGCGUGCUUAACACAUGCAAGUCGAACGGAAAGGCCCUGCUUUUGUGGGGUGCUCGAGUGGCGAACGGGUGAGUAACACGUGAGUAACCUGCCCUUGACUUUGGGUUAACUUCAGGAAACUGGGGCUAAUACCGGAUAGGAGCUCCUGCUGCAUGGUGGGGGUUGGAAAGUUUCGGCGGUUGGGGAUGGACUCGCGGCUUAUCAGCUUGUUGGUGGGGUAGUGGCUUACCAAGGCUUUGACGGGUAGCCGGCCUGAGAGGGUGACCGGCCACAUUGGGAAUGAGAUACGGCCCAGACUCAUACGGGAGGCAGCAGUGGGGAAUAUUGCACAAUGGGCGGAAGCCUGAUGCAGCAACGCCGCGUGCGGGAUGACGGCCUUCGGGUUGUAAACCGCUUUCGCCUGUGACGAAGCGUGAGUGACGGUAAUGGGGAAAGAAGCACCGGCUAACUACGU
rnacentral:rRNA from 1 species